UACAGAGGUGGCAAGCGUUGUUCGGAAUUACUGGGCGUAAAGGGCGCGUAGGCGGUUCGUUAAGUCCUGUGUGAAAUCCCCGGGCUCAACCCGGGAACUGCGUCCGAUACUGGCAGGCUUGAAUUCGGGAGAGGGAUGUGGAAUUCCAGGUGUAGCGGUGAAAUGCGUAGAUAUCUGGAGGAACACCGGUGGCGAAGGCGGCAUCCUGGACCGAUAUUGACGCUGAUGCGCGAAAGCCAGGGGAGCAAACGGG
rnacentral:rRNA from 1 species